rnacentral:rRNA from 1 species
AUUGAACGCUGGCGGCAGGCCUAACACAUGCAAGUCGAGCGAGCGGCGGGCGGGUGAGUAAUGUAUGGGGACUGCCCGAUAGCGAGGGAUAACUACUGGAAACGGUAGCUAAUACCGCGUACUAGUGGAUAAGCCAUAUGGGAUUAGCUAGUAGGUGAGGUAAUGGCUCACCUAGGCGACGAUCCCUAGCUGGUCUGAGAGGAUGAUCAGCCACACUGGGACUGAGACACGGCCCAGACUCCUACGGAGGCAGCAGUGGGGAAUAUUCCACAAUGGGCGAAAGUCUGAUGCAGCAAUGCCGCGUGUAUGAAGAAGGCCCUAGGGUUGUAAAGUACUGUUAGUCGGGAGGCGUUACCUACAGAAGAAGCACCGGCUAACUCCGUGCCAGCAGCCGCGGUAAUAC